AUCCAGCCGACGAACCCCAAAUAAGACGAAACGCCCGUCCUGGAU
rfam:Schistosoma rodhaini strain Burundi genome assembly, scaffold: SROB_scaffold0002731